AUGGGACUCAGGCCUAUGCCGACGGCCCUGGCCGUCGGCAUAGGGUGCGAUUCCGGUAGUGACUGGCCUUCACACAAUUGGGGAGACAAGAUACUUGAGUUUGAUUUGGACACGCAGAACCUUACCGUGAUAAAGGGGCCUCCUGGUGUGAAUUAUUCCGACAAUUUCCAGAUCAUCCAGGCAGAAGAUGGCGCCGUUGGUAUUGCCGUGUUGUCUUACAAUACCCUUCAACUAUGGCAGCGAACGGUUAAUUAUCGAGGUGAUGCCAUAUGGUGUCAUGCAAGAUUUUUCCAUUGCGUAACCUUAUUAACAUCCCUCCUCGAACUAGGAGAAAGAGGGAAUGUAUUCGAUUGGUGGGGUAUGAUGAGGCUACCGAUGUAA
rnacentral:rRNA from 1 species